UAGGGAAUCUUCCGCAAUGGGCGAAAGCCUGACGGAGCAACGCCGCGUGAGUGAUGAAGGUCUUCGGAUCGUAAAACUCUGUUAUUAGGGAAGAACAAAUGUGUAAGUAACUAUGCACGUCUUGACGGUACCUAAUCAGAAAGCCACGGCUAACUACGUGCCAGCAGCCGCGGUAAUACGUAGGUGGCAAGCGUUAUCCGGAAUUAUUGGGCGUAAAGCGCGCGUAGGCGGUUUUUUAAGUCUGAUGUGAAAGCCCACGGCUCAACCGUGGAGGGUCAUUGGAAACUGGAAAACUUGAGUGCAGAAGAGGAAAGUGGAAUUCCAUGUGUAGCGGUGAAAUGCGCAGAGAUAUGGAGGAACACCAGUGGCGAAGGCGACUUUCUGGUCUGUAACUAACGCUGAUGUGCGAAAGCGUGGGGAUCAAACAGG
rnacentral:rRNA from 1 species